AGGACACUCAGGUUUUGGGAUCUGGGUGCUCUCCCGACUAUAAUAUAAUAACCUGAAUAAAGUCAGUUUGCUUACCGGCUUAGGUCUUUGUCUCUGACAAUUUGCCUCUGUGACGUGGAUGGGACUGGAAGUCCAUUUGGAGCCCUGUCUUCUCCACCUAGGGAGAGAGACCCCAUGAGCUCGUCAAGCUCCUUCUGUGACUGAUCAGAGAUCCCACCGUGAGUCCAGCUCCUGGUCCCAUGCUCUGGAUAUAUCGGUCCCUGGCAGCGUGGCUCCAUCUCCGUAGCCUGCUUUUGACAAAAGUGGAUACAUAAAUCUAGGGGCCACCUAGCUAGUUCUAAUAAGACUUUGGAAGUCAAAAGCUAAAGAAGACCAGGGGACCAAGCUGGAAAUCAGGCUCUGCAAUCAGAUUCCAGAGGGAAUGCCAUUCCACCCAAUCACCUAGCCACAACGGUUCCCUUCCUUCAAGAUGCUGCAUGCCUCUUCAGGCGAAUGGAUUACCUUGUAAGAGUGACCUGAAAAAGCGUUAGCCCAGCCACACCGAGGCUUAACUGAGCCAUUUGAUUCUCACUGCCUCUCUCUGUUGCUUCCUCUUGCUUUCAACUACAGGGUCUUUCUGUUUAGGUGGUGAAAAAAAUGAUCGUUAAAAACAAUAAACCUGGGGACCUCUGAUACCAUGAGCCCAGCCAGA
rnacentral:lncRNA from 10 species